UACGUAGGUGGCAAGCGUUGUCCGGAUUUACUGGGCGUAAAGAGCGCGCAGGCGGUCGAUCAAGUCGCGUGUGAAAGCCCCCCGGCUCAACUGGGGAGGGUCACGCGAUACUGAUCGACUCGAAGGCAGGAGAGGGUAGUGGAAUUCCCGGUGUAGUGGUGAAAUGCGUAGAUAUCGGGAGGAACACCAGUGGCGAAGGCGACUACCUGGCCUGUUCUUGACGCUGAGGCGCGAAAGCUAAGGGGAGCAAACGGGG
rnacentral:rRNA from 1 species